rnacentral:lncRNA from 1 species
UGGAUUUUUGACCACAUUUUCUAUAGGGCCUUCUUAUCUCUUCUUUCUUCGAGCUCAGGUUAUAGAAAAAGAAACCUAGAAAAAGGCAUCAGCAACAACUGGUUUUAUUACGGAACAUCUCAUGAUGUUCAUAUCGAUCUAGACCUCAUACAAUAACUGUCAUAGCUCUACCAUACCUUUUGUUUUCAUUUCUUCGGAACAAUCACAAAUACUUUUUUGAUUAUGGAUCUACUACCAGAAAUUCAAUGCAUAAUUCCAGCAUUCAAUGUGUAUUCCUAAAAAUAAUUUCAUUUUUAAUUAUUUAACCAUUUCAUUUUACGAAGUUCAAUGUUAGCCAGAUUAGUCAACAUUUAUAUGUUUCGAAGCAACAACAAGAUGUCAUUUUUAACAAGUAGUUUUGUUUGUUGGUUAAUUGAGCACAAUUUAUUCAUGAAAAGUCUUGGAUUGGUAUUAGUCUGAAUACGGUAAAAUCAUUCUAUUAGAUCGAAUAAGUACAUUCGAUCUAAUAAGUAGCUUGUGUUAGAAUUGAGAAAUUCUAUGGCUCGGAUCUUUAGUAUUCUCUUAUUUCUUACCUGUAUCUUCCAUUUAGAUAGAAUACCAUCACCUAUUCUUACUAAGAAAUGGAAAAAAGCUCAAAAAUGGAAGAAAAUGUGGAAAGUGAGGAAGAAAUAGAUGUAGAAAUAGAAACAACUUAUGAAAUGAAGGGGACUAAACAGGAACAAGAGGGAUCCACCGAAGAAAAUCCUUCUCCUUCCUUUUUUCAAAAGAAAAUGAAAAUCUGAACAAAAUCGAUGAAACGGAAGAAAUCCAAGUGAAUGAAAAGAAAAAAAACACAAGAUGAACUCCACUUUCGAUUAACAGAGACAGGCUCU